rnacentral:rRNA from 1 species
GAUGAACGCUGGCGGCGUGCCUAACACAUGCAAGUCGAACGAAGCACUGAGAGUUUGAGAUUUCGGUCAAGAACACUCUUUGACUUAGUGGCGGACGGGUGAGUAAUGCGUGAGCAACCUGCCUUUCAGAGGGGGACAACAGUUGGAAACGGCUGCUAAUACCGCAUGAUAUAUUCGGAUCGCAUGGUCUGGAUAUCAAAGAUUUAUCGCUGAAAGAUGGGCUCACGUCUGAUUAGUUAGUUGGUGAGGUAACGGCUCACCAAGACUGCGAUCAGUAGCCGGACUGAGAGGUUGAACGGCCACAUUGGGACUGAGAUACGGCCCAGACUCCUACGGGAGGCAGCAGUGGGAAUAUUGGGCAAUGGGCGAAAGCCUGACCCAGCAACGCCGCGUGAAGGAAGAAGGUCUUCGGAUUGUAAACUUCUUUAUCAGGGACGAAGGAAGUGACGGUACCUGAUGAAUAAGCACGGCUAACUACGUGCCAG